UGGUCACAUCACACAUGACUUCUGUCUGUCAUAGGCCCAGCGGUGGAGCUGAUCUGCAGCUGCACCAGGAGGCCCAGCAGCUGCACCAGGAAGCCCAGCAGCCUCCGGGCUGUAAGAGGAGGUGCAGGGAGGACCCAGAGGAGAUGAACAGGGGGAGGAGGAGAAGCAGAGGAGGCUGCAAGGAGAACAGAGACCCAGGAGCAGGCCUAAGGAGGGGCGGGACCCAGAACCUGCAGAGGGACCGCAGAUGGGCUUCACAGGCCAGAACCAGGACCAGAACCACAGCCUGCACUGGAGCUGCAUUCAGCCGUGCAAGUGAGGUCAAGGCUGGCGGACCAGAGGUACGAGUGGCUCUGAUCAGAAAGACCAGGAUUCAGCUCCGAGGAUCCAGUCAGACCCAGGACCGGCAGCCCAGGACCAACUCAAAGGUCAGGUCCACAGCAGGCAGCAGAAUCAGCAGCGAGCAGGACAGGGGGACACCGAGGACCUGGUCUGUUGGCAGGGCGACUGAGACCAGGGCAAGGAGGAGAAGGAAGAUUCACCCGUCUGUGUUCAGAGGGAGAGGUACUCAAUCAAUCAAUCAACCGAUCAAUCGAUCGAUCGAUCGGUCAAAAGCCUGACUG
ensembl:lncRNA